GCGGAUGUAGCUCAGCAGGUAGAGCACCAGGUUUCCACCCUGGGUUGUCGCCGGUUCGAAACCGGCCGUCCGCUCAA
rnacentral:tRNA from 2 species